AGCGUGCUCGUGCCCUGGGGGUGGAUUCCUAGAGUCUGUCUGCGUUCACUGGCCUGGAGAAAUCAGAGAGUGGGAGAGGUUCUUUUUUGAGGAUCAGUUCACUGGUCCUUGGCUCUCUCUGACUAGGCUCACCUGUAGCAGAAGAGUGGCAUUGGUCUGCCCCACAGCUGGUUUGGUUUCUUGAUCAUUCAGACACGCUGAUUGCCUGCCCACCGGUGCUUCAGGCUGUUUCUAUUUCAGAACCAAGAUGUGAAAGAAAAACUUGCCAAAAAGAAAGAAAGAAAAGUCUGCUCUCAGAUUGGGCUGGGCAGUCAGCAUUCUGACUGUCCUCAUCCUUGUGGUUCAGCAGUAGCUGACCCUGAAGACUCCUCUGGGAACUGAUGUAGUUCUAGUCCUGAAAACAGAAUCCCAGCUCUCUGGGGACGCAGUUCCUAGCCUUCCUCUACUGUCAGUACUCCAAAAGGGCACGGCCUGACCAAGGACUCUCAGGAAAAUUCCCAGGAGUUAGUUGCCUCGUUCAAAGAUCUGAACAUCUUCUGGCGCUUGACACAUUUUGCUGGAUUGCUCUUCAGAAGGACCACACCUCAUGCGUUGCUACCAGCAAUGGGUGCCAGGUGUUUCCCAGCCUUGCACCAGUGGAUGGUCUCUUGGCUCGUGUUUUACCCCUGCUGAUUUAAAAGAUGUUUAUUUUGGGUAUAAGGCUAUUUAUUGAAGUUUAAAAAUGGACCUGGCCACAACUAGAAGGACCCACAAUGAAGAAUAUACAACUAUGUACCGGGGGGCUUUGGGGAGAAAAAGGAAAAAAUAAA
rnacentral:lncRNA from 1 species